AGCGUAGGCGGGCAGGCAAGUCAGGCGUGAAAGAUAUCGGCUCAACCGGUAGCUGCGCUUGAAACUGCAGGUCUUGAGUGAAGUAGAGGUUGGCGGAAUUCCUAGUGUAGCGGUGAAAUGCGUAGAUAUUAGGAGGAACACCAGUGGCGAAGGCGGCCAACUGGGCUUUUACUGACGCUGAGGCUCGAAAGUGUGGGAGCAAACA
rnacentral:rRNA from 1 species